rnacentral:rRNA from 1 species
GAUGAACGCUGGCGGCGUGCCUAAUACAUGCAAGUCGAGCGAACGGACGAGAAGCUUGCUUCUCUGAUGUUAGCGGCGGACGGGUGAGUAACACGUGGAUAACCUACCUACAAGACUGGGAUAACUUCGGGAAACCGGAGCUAAUACCGGAUAAUAUUUUGAACCGCAUGGUUCAAAAGUGAAAGACGGUCUUGCUGUCACUUAUAGAUGGAUCCGCGCUGCAUUAGCUAGUUGGUAAGGUAACGGCUUACCAAGGCAACGAUGCAUAGCCGACCUGAGAGGAUGACCGGCCACACUGGAACUGAGACACGGUCCAGACUCCGACGGGAGGAAGAAGAGGGGAAUCUUCGACAAGGGGCGAAAGCCGGACGAAGCAACGCCGCGUGGGUGAAGAAGUUCUUCGGAUUUUAAAACUCUUUUAUUAGGGAAGAACGUAAGUAAAAGAACCUCUGCCUGUCUUGACGUUACCAAAAGAAAAAGCCACGGCGAACUUCGUG